AAAACUUAACAAUUAUUUGCAAAGUAAGAAUGCAGUGGCAGAUAAGAGUUCUGAAGAAGAGUCUUUAAGCAGUAUUUCCAUUAAACCUGGUACUGAUGAUUCAUGGCCUACAUCAGAUGAUGAAGACUUUAAUUUUGAUAUCAAGGUAAAGUACUCUUGUGAAAUUUGUUUUCCUG